rnacentral:rRNA from 1 species
CCUACGGGCGGCUGCCGUGGGGAAUAUUGGACAAUGGGGGAACCCCUGAUCCAGCGACGCCGCGUGAGUGAAGAAGUAUUUCGGUACGUAAAGCUCUAUCAGCAGGAAAGCAAAUGACGGUACCUGACUACGAAGCCCCGGCUAACUACGUGCCAGCAGCCGCGGUAAUCCGUAGGGGGCACGCGUUAUCCGGAUUUCCUGGGUGUAAAGGGUGCGUAGACGGCAGCGCAAGUCCUGAGUGAAAUGCCGGGGCCCAACCCCGGAACUGCGCUGGAAACUGUGAAGCUGGAGUUACGGAGAGGUAAGCGGAAUGCCUGGUGUAGCGGGGAAAUGCGUAGAUAUCAGGAGGAACACCGGCGGCGAAGGCGGCUUACUGGACUGUAACUGACGUUGAGGCUCGAAGGCGUGGGGAGCAAACAGGAUUAGAUACCCCAGUAGUC